UCUGUAUGCCAUACCAGUAUCUCCAUAUUCUUUGGUUAUGAGGACAAUCAACCUAUAUGAUAGACAAUGAUCUACACUCGAUAAAUAUCAUCAUCCCUUAAUGACGUAUCAUUUGGUCGCAAACAUAUUUAAGAACUAUUCGAUAAAUUCUUCUUUAUCGAUUGUCAUAUAGUUCUAAGGACUUCAUCACAAUACAAGAGUUCUAACAAAGAAGAUGUGCAUCUUGUGAUG
rnacentral:lncRNA from 1 species